UGCACACCUUGUGGGACCUUGUGAUCGUCUUUCUAACUUAGACAACUGGCAAGAUAAAAAUGAACAUGAAAUGUUGAGAACAACCACCAAGAAAAGGCUAUAACCAUUGUUCACUGUCUUUCCUUUCAGCACAAUAAAAUAAAAGGAGAUUCCAUAAAAUAAUUUCACUUUGAUACCAUGCAUUGUGGGCAACCUCAUUCUGGCAUUUUCAUUCUGUGCCUCAUGUUGACAUUAUCGACAUGAGGGAGGGAGAGAGCUAUCUUCUUAAGGAAUGCUCACUAAAUAUUUGAAAUGAACAGUGAUGAGAUCAAGCAUUCAGCAACAGAAUUCAGCAUAGAAAAGCAGCUAUAGCACCAGUCCUGAAGUUAAUCAACCCUGGAUCCAACUCCUACUCCACUACUUAUUUGCUGUGUGACAAUAGAAAAGUUACUGAACUGUGAACUUCAUUUGUAAAAUGCAGAUACUAAUUCUUACCCUCUACCAUUUCUGGAAUAUCAAGUAAAAUUUGUAAUAGAACACUUGUACAUUGUAGAUAGUUAAUGAAUGCUUCUUGAAUGAAUAAAG
rnacentral:lncRNA from 1 species